rnacentral:lncRNA from 12 species
UCCCUAUUUCAGAAUCUGCCACUCACUCCUACAAUGAGGCUCCGGGAAACCAUCAGAGAAGUCCUGGGCUCUUGCAACAUAUUCAACAAAACAGGAAUUUAGAGCUGGAAGGAACAUGGAAGAUUAUUUAGCUCCAUCCCUCCUCCUAUAUGUGGCUCAGGAGACUGAGGCCCAGAGAGGACAGGCGCUGGCAAGCCCUUCACACCCCCUUGGCUGCACCUUGGGCCUCCUAGGGAGCAGGACCCCAGAGGCCAGGACCUUUCCAGGUUCUCCAGCAAUGGCUGUGCGUGCGGCUGGGAGCCUCCAGGUCUGGGGGUGUGGCUUCCUCCCCCGCUUGCAGCCCAGCCUCCGUCUGGUCCGGAAUGAGAAGCAACAGCACAGGGCUGAGAUGGGCGGACAGUGGCUUUGGGAGCGCUGCGCGGAUCCUAAGGCCAAGAGAUGGCCAUCACCGGGUCACCAGGAGAAGGAAUACAAAGCUCACCCCAGCUACCCACCCACGGUGCUGAUGGGAGAAUCCAGAGAGGCUAUGAAAGACUCUAUCGCCCCCGUGUGGCAAAAUGGGAGAAAGACAGGGCUGAGCGGAGGUUUGGGAAAUCUUAGGCUCUUAGGUGGAGCGACUGCAGUGCCCCUCCUGGGUAAUAGGCUGAGGGCUCUCUCCAGUUACACAGUCCCUGCCCCUACUGGAUUCAUCAAAUCCCUUGGGAAUGCUGAGAGGGCAUUGUGA